rfam:Fomitiporia mediterranea MF3/22 unplaced genomic scaffold FOMMEscaffold_4, whole genome shotgun sequence.
CUCUGGGUAGCUCAGUUGGUUUAGAGCAUCAGACUGUAAUUGGAAAUCAGAAUAUCUGAGGGUCGCUGGUUCGACUCCGGCCCCGGAGA